rnacentral:lncRNA from 1 species
AUGCCCAUUGUCCACAGCAUCCCUCGCAAUACGACUUCUUUCCAAAGAGCUUGUGUGUUUAUCCUGGAAAUAAAUACAUUAUCAACUUGCAAGAAAAAUUUCAGCAUAGAAAAGCACCGUCAGGCAAUAAGUCUGUUUCUUGUUGUCUUGGCAGCCCGGGAAUUGGUCUGCAUCGCAAAGGAAGGCAGUGUGCUGAAUUGCUUUGAUAAACUAGUCCGGGCUUUCACAGAUCCGUCUCUCUUUCUGAGCUGCGCACACAUUACUUCUCUGAAGAUGGAGCUAGAGAUAUUUCACAAAGACAGCAGAGUUUAUGAGAAAAGAAGAUCACCAUAUUCCUUAUUUCCUGGGAGUCACUGUCUAGUAUUUGGAGACUGAAAAAACGCAGCUUCUUGCUGAAAGCUCCUCUCUCUCCCUCUCAUAUCCCCUUUAUCUCUCUGCACUUUGCUAUGCUUUUUUCUCCAAACUGCUUCCCUUAUCUCUAUUAUUCUUUUCCUCCACAUAGAGGAGCUAUUGCUGCUUUGGUCCUAAUCAGAAAUUAUAGCAGAGAACAAUAAAAAUACUUAUAUUUGUAUUUAUAGAUUGAAUUCUUAAAAAAAAAAAAAAGGACCCUUCUUACCUGGUUUAUCUCUGAAAGAGAAAGGAACUUAUGGACCAUCUGGUUUUACGCCAGCUUUCUCAUAUUGCUUAGCUUUCUGUUUGAAGUGGAUCAAACACUUGGCACUCUUGCAGUGGACUCCUUCUGUGCUUUCACCAUGAACGGAAUAUUAGAAUUGUUCAGUUCAGCAUGUGCUGAAAUCAACAGAACUGUUGUUUGUGAAAUAAUUACAUCAUAGUUUAGUAAAAUCAGAUUGUCCUUUUUUUUUUCUCUUUCUUUUAAAAUAGCAUCUAUUAUGGGGCACCUGGAUGGCUCGUUGGUGAAGGGGCCAACUCUUGGUUUCAGCUCAGGUCAUGAUCUCAGUGUCCGGAGAUCAAACCCCACAUCAGUGUCCACACUCAGCAUAGAGUCAGCUUGUCCUUUUCCCUCUGCUCUUCUCCCUGCUUGUGUUCUCUCUCUCUCUCUCUUUCUCAAAUAAAUUAAAAAAAAUAAAAUUUAUUAGAACCCCUGCUAAAAGAAGUCAAAC